rnacentral:rRNA from 1 species
UACGAAGGGGGCUAGCGUUGCUCGGAAUUACUGGGCGUAAAGCGCACGUAGGCGGCUUCUUAAGUCGGUGGUGAAAUCCUGGAGCUCAACUCCAGAACUGCCUUCGAUACUGGGAGCUCGAGUCCGGGAGAGGUGAGUGGAACUCCUAGUGUAGAGGUGGAAUUCGUAGAUAUUAGGAAGAACACCAGUGGCGAAGGCGGCUCACUGGUCCGGUACUGACGCUGAGGUGCGAAAGCGUGGGGAGCAAACAGG